UGAGGAAUAUUGGUCAAUUGGCGGGAGCCUGAACCAGCCAAGUCGCGUGAGGGAAGACGGUCCUAUGGAUUGUAAAACCUCUUUUGUUCGGGGAGCAAAGAGGCCACGUGUGGUCAAAAGCGAGAGUACCCGAGAAAAGCAUCGGCUAACUCCGUGCCAGCA
rnacentral:rRNA from 1 species